rnacentral:tRNA from 1 species
CGCGGGGUGGAGCAGUUUGGUAGCUCGUCGGGCUCAUAACCCGAAGGUCGUUGGUUCAAAUCCAGCCCCCGCUACCA